ACAGAGGGUGCAAGCGUUGUUCGGAAUUAUUGGGCGUAAAGCGCGUGUAGGCGGUCCUGCAAGUCGGAUGUGAAAGCCCUCGGCUUAACCGAGGAAGUGCGUUCGAUACUACAGAACUUGAGUACCGGAGAGGGUGGCGGAAUUCCCGGUGUAGAGGUGAAAUUCGUAGAUAUCGGGAGGAACACCAGUGGCGAAGGCGGCCACCUGGACGGCUACUGACGCUGAGACGCGAAAGCGUGGGGAGCAAACAGGAUUAGAUACCCUGGUAGUCCACGCUGUAAACGAUGAGCGCUAGGUGUUGUGGGUGUUGACCCCUACAGUGCCGCAGCUAACGCAUUAAGCGCUCCGCCUGGGAAGUACGGCCGCAAGGCUA
rnacentral:rRNA from 1 species